CAGAGACUCAGGCAGAACACGCCUGCUCCUCAGGCCCUUGUUAAAAAACUCUGUCACAUGGAGACCUUCUCCUGCAGGCAGGUGGCCCAGCAGGGAUCCCCUUGUGACUGAAGUCAGAGUUUGCACAGACUCCUAAGAGGUUUUCCGAUUUCUCACUGCCCUGGUGGUCAGAGGAGGGGAUUAGGCAAAGGAAAAUGACCAGCUGAGCUUUUUGGAAGUCCAAAGGAACAAUGGCACACGCUCUCUCGCAGUCCUGUUGUAGAGUCAGAU